rnacentral:lncRNA from 1 species
GGCGUGCUAUGGCAGCCCCGAGGGGCAGCCCAGACCCAGGGGAGAAGGACAAAGUCCGGGCAGGAAUCAAACAUCUGGAUCCAGAUGUGCAGACUUCAUCUGAAGGACACAGAGGGGUUGGACUUGAGAUCAGCUGGCUUCCAAAAUCCUCUCAUUUGCAACAGUUACUUUAUCCUCCCUGUGCACAGUGAUACAGUGUAACAGGUAAGGAUUGGAAAGUGUAACACACUCCCCUCACCCAAUCCACUUUCGCUGAAAAGCAGUGAGUUAAGGGCAAUGGUUUUCUUCACAACAGGCAAAUAACUCAUGGUGUUCACUGUAGAGUGAGUAGAGGCCAAAGUUCUUGGAAGGGGGAGGGAGUGUACAAGGAGUGAGUGUAGGCAUCCUAAGCGACAAGGUCAGAUUCAAGCCCCACUCCAUUGAUGUAUGCAUUUCCCUUAACUGUGUCAUCCUCCUUUGAAUUUCUGCAUAUUUGAUUAUCUACACCAUUUCUGUUUCAAUAAAUG